rnacentral:lncRNA from 1 species
AAACCACAGAGCCUCGGCAGCAGGUGCAUCCGCCAGGUAGCUUGAGUGUGGCCUGAUGCCCAAGCACAGACUAAGUCUACUGCUUAUUAGACUUAAGAAUCCACACCCUUCAUGUCUAAAGCCACAGGUUUUUGUGGCCAUCAACAGAACUCAGUACAACCCAAGAGUGAAGCUCAGAUCUGGUUGUUUCUGCUCCUGUGUGCCUGACUUCAGUCUGGACUAUAAAAGCAAUCGAAUGAUACUAAAGCACCAACAGCAGAGGGUGAAAUGGGAGGGAGCAUCUGAAAGAGAGAACUGAGAAACAGUAAUGGAGCGAGGACUGAGCAUCCUUUAAAGUGGUCUGAGCUUGAGGAGCAGGCUAGGAAAACAAGCAGGAUACAGAAGACUUUACACAGACAUGAGAUGUACGCACUGAAUGUUCGCACUAGGUGUCAGCGCUUACAGUGGUAGGGAAGGGGUUCAAAAGUGGUGGGGGGGAACCUCUCUUAUUCCAGCUCUAU